rnacentral:miRNA from 1 species
UAGAAGAGCUUUCGCUGGCCCAGA